UAGGGAAUCUUCCGCAAUGGACGAAAGUCUGACGGAGCAACGCCGCGUGAGUGAUGAAGGCUUUCGGGUCGUAAAACUCUGUUGUUAGGGAAGAACAAGUGCUAGUUGAAUAAGCUGGCACCUUGACGGUACCUAACCAGAAAGCCACGGCUAACUACGUGCCAGCAGCCGCGGUAAUACGUAGGUGGCAAGCGUUAUCCGGAAUUAUUGGGCGUAAAGCGCGCGCAGGUGGUUUCUUAAGUCUGAUGUGAAAGCCCACGGCUCAACCGUGGAGGGUCAUUGG
rnacentral:rRNA from 1 species